rnacentral:lncRNA from 1 species
AGUCCCGGGGCUUACCCGGGUGCAGAGAGCGAGGAGCACCAAGGCGAGGCUGAUGGGACCUGCGACGGAGGCGAGCAUGAUCGGGACGCGGUAGGAGGAUGCACAGCAGGGUGCAGAGGCGACGAGAGGCGCGGCCGGAGCCUGGAUUCGGACAGGGGCGGAGCAUUCCUCAAAGAGAAGAGGCCCGAGACUUCCUAUUUAAAGAAAGAACAUGGCAAGUUAUAACCCUGUGCAAUAUGCACUGUGUGUGAAGACAGCAGAUCAUAGGGACCUUGGAGAUCAUUCAGCGGAAACAUGAGACCACCCCCUUCAGAGUAUACAAGGUGGAAGACAGCGCCGAUGGGGUGUGGCUUCCUGCUCUGAUAACCUCAAGGUUGGUAUGCUGAGUUGCUGGUGACUAAGCAAAGCCUGACACAGCUUCACAAGAGGUCCCUCAAACUCUGACCACCAUGGAGACUUGGCAAUCCAUUCAGACUACUUUGAGAAGCAGUUCAAAACUGAUUUGUAUUCUACGAUUCUCUUUCCUACCUUGUAUUUCUUUCUGUAAAAGAGUUGAGGCUGAUCUAAUUUUAGGAUUUGGCCAUUUGAGUUGAA